rnacentral:misc_RNA from 1 species
UGGUACUACGAUGGGUGAAUUCACAACUUGCAAGGAUUUUGAAUUGGGUUGACCGGGCUAUUCAGCAGGAGCGGUGGGUACCGGUUUCACCUCAACAAAGGCAUGGAAGUUCAAUUGUUGAAGUCUACAGGAUUGUGGAAGAGACGGUCGAUCAGUUCUUUUCUCUGGAAGUUCCGAUGAGGCCAGGAGAACUGGGUAGCCUCUUUCGCGGCAUUGAUAAUGCAUUUCAAGUAUAUGCAAAGACCAUAUUAGAUAAGAUUGCUAAUAAGGAAGAUAUUGUUCCACCUGUGCCUAUUUUGACGAGAUACUCAAGGGAAAGUGGAAUUAAGGCAUUUGUAAAGAAGGAGUUGAAGGA